UGCUAUGACUAGUUUGAUAUUUGCCACGUUUCAGGACUUGCACAUUUGUGUAAGGACAAUGGAUUUUCAUUCUUUUAGAGUUUAUUAACUACUCCCAAGAGCAGUUGAAGUUGGCAAAGCUAGCCCUUCUCUCCUUGUUCAGUUGAGGUUUGGUGUUCUAGAGGCUAGAGCCUUUGGUGUUUCUCAGUCUAGGAAACGAGCAUUCAUAUGGGCAGCUUCUCCAGAAGAGACACUCCCAGAGUGGCUAGAACUAAUGCAUAUCUUUGCAGGCCCAUAACUGAAAAUCACAUUACCAGGGGAUGUACAAUAUGCUGCCGUCAGGAGUACAGCUAGAGGGGCACCCUUUCGUGCAAUAACUGUGAGAGAUACAAUUGGAGAUCUCCCACCUGUUGGAAAUGGAGCAUCUAAAACAGAGAUGGAUGUGAAACUAUAUACUGGUCAAAUGGUGGAUUUGAUACCUUGGUGCUUGCAAUGGAGCAGAGCUCAAUAAAUGCUUGCAUGAAUGGAAAGAAUCAGGUGUAUGUGAUAUGAAAGAAGUGGAGAUCAA